rnacentral:lncRNA from 10 species
AUUCCAGGCUCUUCUGUGCCUGUGGGACUACAUUCUCUGUGCCGGGCUUAGAGAACACGAAGAGGGAGCCAUCUGCCACACUCUGGAGGCUGAAGCCUGCACCAGUGCUGCUCGCCUCACUGUGGUAGGUGGUGGUGAUGGAAACUGCAGAUCGGCCAGAGUGGUAGAAAAGUUGCUGCAGGGUUUUUCUGGCUUUGCCUGCCCAGCUGCUCCAUGCCUGGCUAGAGGAGAAGGAGGAGCCACAUGUGGUACACUGGAGGCUGGAGCCUGCAGAUGGCAUGGCUCUGCGGCUCACCUUGCUGCAGUUGGUGGUGGUGACAGAGACUGCAGCUUGACUGUAGUGUCCAUGUUCUCCAGAGAAGCAGAACGAGUUGGAUGUAUGUUUUGGAAGAGAUUAUGAGGAACCGGCUCAUGUGAUGAAGGAGGUUGAGAGGUCCUGUGCUCUGCCAUCUGCAAGCUGAAGACCUGGAAAGCUGAGGGUGUGGCUCCAGUCUGAGUCUGAAGGCCCAAGAACCAGGGGAACCAACGGUGUAGAUUCCAGGUUGAAGGCAGGAGAAGAUGGAUGUCCCAGCUCAGCAGGCAGGCAGGAAGCAAAUGGGGUAAAUUCCUCCUUCCUCCACCUUUUGUUCCAUUCAGGCCUUCAACAGAUUGGAUGAGCGCACCCCCACCCCCACACUAGGGAGGGCCAUCUGCUUUACUGAGUCGGCUGAGUCAAGUGCCAGCCUCAUCCCAAAACACUCUCCAGACACACGCAGAAAUGUUUCAUCUGGGCACCCUGUGGCCAGUCAUGCUGACACACAGAACUAACCAUGACAUGGAUUCUUCUUAAAGCAGUGAUAGGAGCGAACAGAAACAUUUUCAUAAUUUUCAAUUAUUUUUAAUGAAAACUAUAUCUGAUGGAAUUGUUUAAACCUAGUCUGGCCACACAUUAUUUCCUGGGACCGCCCCUCCUUCAAUCCCUUGGACACUGAUGACUUUAUGCCCAGAUUACACUGGAGGCCUGUGCUGAUUUUCUAACACAUACCUGCAACUGAGCUGGCAAAAAGAAAACUAGGCAAGUAUGACAGAUACAUGAUGCACAGGCUAAGUGCAAAGGAAAGAAAAACACCAACUGCAGGGAUGAGGGACUCACCCCUUUAGAAGUUUCUACUUGAGCAGCUAGAAGACUACAAUGCCACUCAUCAAAACAGUGACUCAGGGGGAGUAUUUGGGAUAAAGGAGGAAUCUGAUGUUGGAGGUCAAAUUUGAAGUGUCUUUAAGACCUACAGGUAACGAGACAGCUGGACAAACACAUGGAACUCAGGACAAAGGCUCUAAGGACAGCACAGCAGCUGACAUCCUGUGUGACAGCCUUGAAAGCAGCAGGCCCGCCGCUCACAUUUUGGAAGGGAAAAUGGGUACAAUGUUGUCUGCCACUUUGGGGCCUUCUUGGGUCACAUGCAUUUUACAUUUAUGCAGUUGAUAUAUUUAUGUUUCCUGGGUCUUUUAUACAUUAGACACCAUGAUUCUCAAUCCUUUGUUAUUUUGUAUUACAAAAAGCUGAAUUAUUAUUUCAAAUAUGGGCAAAUUAGAGCCUUCCAUAUUGCCAAGGUGUAUCAACCACACUGAUAUCACGAUCUCUCUUUUGAAUUAGUUUUCCAGUUCACACCUACCAUUUAUUUCAUGAUUGGUUUCAGACUUGUUCCUCCUGGAAACACUCCCUAACAAGCACCCUUGCAGGAAUGAAGACACACCACACACAUCUACCCCAUUACUGCAUGUACUCAAGAGUCAGCUUUUAUAUGAUCUCUCCCAAGUGCUCCUAUAAUGGGGAUCUUUCACUCACCCUAAAGUGAGGACAAAAUACUUGAAAGCAUGAGCCCAGUGCCUGUAGGUGUGCAAUUAACCUCAGACCAAGGAAGUGCCGAACGCAUCUGGCUUUUAGCAAGGCACCUGACAAAGUCCUUCAGGAUGUUUUUGUACAUGAGCUAGAGAAAUGUACCUGGAGAACAGCUUCUACUGCCAGAUGAUCUUACUCAAAAGAUGCAGAUUAAGCAAAAUAUCAACCCAAAGGGUGGUCCCUGAUGGCCCACCAGCCCUGUGCCUGGCUCGUUUCCUAUGUUUCCUAGAUUUGGUUUCAGACUUGCUCCUCCUGCAGACACUCCCUAACCAGCAUCCUUGCAGAAAACUGGUGAACUAGAAAAGGCCUGUGUGGCAGGAGCGGGGUCUUCUGGAGACCCGCAUGAGAUGCAAAGGGCAGUGGACAAGGAGCCAAGGGAGGUGGCUCUAGUCACGCUGGUAUGGUGCCAGCUUGAGGAUGCUGGGCAAGUCCCGAGCCGUCUGCCUUCCUAGUACCACAGUUACCACUGUCUGUUACCUCGCGAGUUCAAGUGCUUCACGUGAGACAGCUACGAGACAGGCCCCUGGAAACUGGAAAAUGCUAAGUAAAUGUCAUGCACAAUUGUUGUUCACAUUUUAUCUCAAUCACUUUUACCAAAUCAGGCUAAACCCUGGGUAUUCAUAACGUCUUGGGCUGUACAAAUUGUUCCUUGAAAUGACUCAGAGACAUUUUCUGAAUUGGCUUCCAUCAGCCAAGCAUUUCUUCAGAACUGGAAAAAUGCUUUAAAUUUGGCUUUGUCAUGAUUAUUAAAACACUCUGUACAUUUUUUAUUAUUGAAAUUAACACA